rnacentral:lncRNA from 1 species
GAAAAGGCCACGUGGAGGAGGGGGUCGCUGCUUCGUUCUCAUUUGCAAAACGGUCCCGCAAGGCCGAGGGAGAGAAGUCUGGUAAACUCGGGCAUAAGGUAACCAGCAGGGGCCCUGCUGCCCAGGGAUCUUCGGGUGGCCUCGGACCCCCACCCCCAGCACAGGUGUUUUGCGGGUGGAGGAAGGCGAGGGGACCCAGUAACGGCCGCGGAGACCCCCAGGGCUUGUUCACUGGCCGCACCUGCCAGGGCCUCGCCGGGGUGUCCGCAGGGGCUCCCCCGCUUGGGUCCUCUGCCGCUCUUUCCUCCCACCCCUGGAGAGAGGUCAGUGACGCCGCUUGAGCCUCGGUGUUCUCAUCUGCGAAAUGGUCCUGCAGGGCCAUUGGCGGAUGAGGAGAGAAGUUUAGUAAACUCGGGCAAGGAUGGCGAUGGCAGUGUGCAGCCGGGAUCUGCUGCUGUCUGUCGGGGACCUGAUAGGCGAACCGCCCCGCCUGCCCCGAGGCUGACUGACCGAGGCUGCCGAGCCGCUACGGGAGCUUCGGCCGCCUUGCUCACGUGCCCGCCCUGCCCGUCCGCGAGUGCCCUCCCUGCGCCCAGCACCGGCCGCGCCCGGGAGCUCGUGUGCAGGGAUCCGCAGGCCCCGUCCGCGUGUCAAGCCCAACGAGCCUGCUCCGACCUCUCCAGACUCCUUCAGGGGCUGGGGCCGGGGCUCAGGUAGAGCG